rnacentral:rRNA from 1 species
AUUGAACGCUGGCGGCAGGCCUAACACAUGCAAGUCGAGCGAGCGGCGGACGGGUGAGUAAUGUAUGGGGACUGCCCGAUCGAGGGGGAUAACUACUGGAAACGGUGGCUACUACCGCAUACUAUCGGAUAACCCAUAUGGGAUUAGCUAGUAGGUGGGGUAAAGGCUCACCUAGGCGACGAUCACUAGCUGGUCUGAGAGGAUGAUCGGCCACACGGGGACGGAGACACGGCCCAGACUCCUACGGAGGCAGCAGUGGGGAAUAUUGCGCAAUGGGCGAAAGCCUGAUAGAGCCAUGCCGCGUGAGUGAAGAAGGCCUUAGGAUUGUAAAGGACUUUCAGCGGGGAGGCGGUACCCGCAGAGAAAGCACCGGCUAACUCCGUGCCAGCAGCCGCGGUAAUAC